GGUUAAGCGACUAAGCGUACACGGUGGAUGCCCUGGCAGUCAGAGGCGAUGAAGGACGUGCUAAUCUGCGAAAAGCGUCGGUAAGGUGAUAUGAACCGUUACAGCCGGCGAUGUCCGAAUGGGGAAACCCAGUGCAAUUCGUUGCACUAUCGUUUGAUGAAUACAUAGUCAAACGAGGCGAACCGGGGGAACUGAAACAUCUAAGUACCCCGAGGAAAAGAAAUCAACCGAGAUUCCCCCAGUAGCGGCGAGCGAACGGGGAGCAGCCCGGAGUCUGAAUCAGCUUGUGUGUUAGUGGAAGCGUCUGGAAAGUCGCAGGGUACAGGGUGAUACUCCCGUACACUAAAACACACAGGUUGUGAACUCGAAGAGUAGGGCGGGACACGUGGUAUCCUGUCUGAAUAUGGGGGGACCAUCCUCCAAGGCUAAAUACUCCUGACUGACCGAUAGUGAACCAGUACCGUGAGGGAAAGGCGAAAAGAACCCCGGCGAGGGGAGUGAAAAAGAACCUGAAACCGUGUACGUACAAGCAGUAGGAGCCCACUAGUUGGGUGACUGCGUACCUUUUGUAUAAUGGGUCAGCGACUUAUAUUCUGUAGCAAGGUUAACCGUAUAGGGGAGCCGCAGGGAAACCGAGUCUUAACUGGGCGUUAAGUUGCAGGGUAUAGACCCGAAACCCGGUGAUCUAGCCAUGGGCAGGUUGAAGGUUGGGUAACACUAACUGGAGGACCGAACCGACUAAUGUUGAAAAAUUAGCGGAUGACUUGUGGCUGGGGGUGAAAGGCCAAUCAAACCGGGAGAUAGCUGGUUCUCCCCGAAAGCUAUUUAGGUAGCGCCUCGUGAAUUCAUCUUCGGGGGUAGAGCACUGUUUCGGCUAGGGGGUCAUCCCGACUUACCAACCCGAUGCAAACUACGAAUACCGAAGAAUGUUAUCACGGGAGACACACGGCGGGUGCUAACGUCCGUCGUGAAGAGGGAAACAACCCAGACCGCCAGCUAAGGUCCCAAAGUCAUGGUUAAGUGGGAAACGAUGUGGGAAGGCCCAGACAGCCAGGAUGUUGGCUUAGAAGCAGCCAUCAUUUAAAGAAAGCGUAAUAGCUCACUGGUCGAGUCGGCCUGCGCGGAAGAUGUAACGGGGCUAAACCAUGCACCGAAGCUGCGGCAGCGACACUAUGUGUUGUUGGGUAGGGGAGCGUUCUGUAAGCCGUUGAAGGUGGCCUGUGAGGGUUGCUGGAGGUAUCAGAAGUGCGAAUGCUGACAUAAGUAACGAUAAUGCGGGUGAAAAACCCGCACGCCGGAAGACCAAGGGUUCCUGUCCAACGUUAAUCGGGGCAGGGUGAGUCGACCCCUAAGGCGAGGCCGAAAGGCGUAGUCGAUGGGAAACAGGUUAAUAUUCCUGUACUCGGUGUUACUGCGAAGGGGGGACGGAGAAGGCUAUGUUGGCCGGGCGACGGUUGUCCCGGUUUAAGCGUGUAGGUGUGUGUUCCAGGUAAAUCCGGUUCACUUUAACACUGAGGCGUGAUGACGAGGCACUACGGUGCUGAAGUGACAAAUGCCCUGCUUCCAGGAAAAGCCUCUAAGCAUCAGGUAACAUCAAAUCGUACCCCAAACCGACACAGGUGGUCAGGUAGAGAAUACCAAGGCGCUUGAGAGAACUCGGGUGAAGGAACUAGGCAAAAUGGUGCCGUAACUUCGGGAGAAGGCACGCUGAUGGUAAGUGAAGCGACUUGCUCGUGGAGCUGAAAUCAGUCGAAGAUACCAGCUGGCUGCAACUGUUUAUUAAAAACACAGCACUGUGCAAACACGAAAGUGGACGUAUACGGUGUGACGCCUGCCCGGUGCCGGAAGGUUAAUUGAUGGGGUUAUCCUCGCGGAGAAGCUCUUGAUCGAAGCCCCGGUAAACGGCGGCCGUAACUAUAACGGUCCUAAGGUAGCGAAAUUCCUUGUCGGGUAAGUUCCGACCUGCACGAAUGGCGUAAUGAUGGCCAGGCUGUCUCCACCCGAGACUCAGUGAAAUUGAACUCGCUGUGAAGAUGCAGUGUACCCGCGGCAAGACGGAAAGACCCCGUGAACCUUUACUAUAGCUUGACACUGAACACUGGUCCUUGAUGUGUAGGAUAGGUGGGAGGCUUUGAAGUGUGGACGCCAGUCUGCAUGGAGCCAUCCUUGAAAUACCACCCUUUAAUGGCUGGUGUUCUAACGUGGGCCCCUAAUCGGGGUUGCGGACAGUGUCUGGUGGGUAGUUUGACUGGGGCGGUCUCCUCCUAAAGAGUAACGGAGGAGCACGAAGGUCAGCUAAUCCUGGUCGGACAUCAGGAGGUUAGUGCAAUGGCAUAAGCUGGCUUGACUGCGAGCGUGACGGCGCGAGCAGGUGCGAAAGCAGGUCAUAGUGAUCCGGUGGUUCUGAAUGGAAGGGCCAUCGCUCAACGGAUAAAAGGUACUCCGGGGAUAACAGGCUGAUACCGCCCAAGAGUUCAUAUCGACGGCGGUGUUUGGCACCUCGAUGUCGGCUCAUCACAUCCUGGGGCUGAAGUAGGUCCCAAGGGUAUGGCUGUUCGCCAUUUAAAGUGGUACGCGAGCUGGGUUUAGAACGUCGUGAGACAGUUCGGUCCCUAUCUGCCGUGGGCGCUGGAGAAUUGAGGGGGGCUGCUCCUAGUACGAGAGGACCGGAGUGGACGCAUCACUGGUGUUCGGGUUGUCAUGCCAAUGGCAUUGCCCGGUAGCUAAAUGCGGAAGAGAUAAGUGCUGAAAGCAUCUAAGCACGAAACUUGCCCCGAGAUGAGUUCUCCCUGACCCUUUAAGGGUCCUGAAGGAACGUUGAAGACGACGACGUUGAUAGGCCGGGUGUGUAAGCGCAGCGAUGCGUUGAGCUAACCGGUACUAAUGAACCGUGAGGCUUAACCUU
rnacentral:rRNA from 1 species